rnacentral:rRNA from 1 species
AUUGAACGCUGGCGGCAGGCCUAACACAUGCAAGUCGAACGGUAACAGGAAGACGCUUGCUUCUUUGCUGACGAGUGGCGGACGGGUGAGUAAUGUCUGGGAAACUGCCUGAUGGAGGGGGAUAACUACUGGAAACGGUAGCUAAUACCGCAUAACGUCGCAAGACCAAAGAGGGGGACCUUCGGGCCUCUUGCCAUCGGAUGUGCCCAGAUGGGAUUAGCUAGUAGGUGGGGUAACGGCUCACCUAGGCGACGAUCCCUAGCUGGUCUGAGAGGAUGACCAGCCACACUGGAACUGAGACACGGUCCAGACUCCUACGGGAGGCAGCAGUGGGGAAUAGUGCACAAUGGGCGCAAGCCUGAUGCAGCCAUGCCGCGUGUAUGAAGAAGGCCUUCGGGUUGUAAAGUACUUUCAGCGGGGAGGAAGGGAGUAAAGUUAAUACCUUGGCUCAUUGACGUUACCCGCAGAAGAAGCACCGGCUAACUCCGUG